rnacentral:lncRNA from 1 species
CUGGAAAUCAAGGGAACUAGGUCUACAACCAAGAAUAAAAUACCUAUCAAAACUGACUAUAUUCUUAAAGGUGAAAGUAUGGUCAUUCAACACAACAGAAAAGUUCCAAGCAUUCAUAAAUAAAAGACCAGACCUGAACAGAAAAUUUGAUGUCCAACCACAGAACUCAAGAGAAUCAUCAAACGGACAAAAUCAUCACAUGGAAUAGAGAAACAUCCAUACUGUUGCAACUCAGACUCAGACACUGUAUUGUGCGCACAAUCAUAUGCAAACAAAAACUCAUCUUCAUCAAAGACAUCUUAUAAUAUCAAAGAAAACAGCAUGAUGUUGGCUUAGUUUCCCCUCCAAGUCAGGUUUCAUGCAGCAAGAAUUGAGAACAAGAGGGAGAGAGGACUAGGAAGAAGGCAUGAUGAGAAGAGGUCAUCACCUUUCCUGUUCCCUUCAUGCUGAGCCAGCCAGGACGAGGUGGAAGAGGUGAAUGUUGGGUGUGAUCUCUAGAAGGAGAAGAAAAUAAGGGAUGAGGAAAAUAGUUUGAUCGAUGCUUCUCUUCUCAGCUAGAUUUCAUCAUAUCAAUUGCCUGAAAUGAUUACUUCUGUAAUGCUAUCUUCCUCGAAGUGAUGGACAUGAAGAGAAUUAUACAGCUGCAGGUAGAACAUAGGACAGAAAAAAAAUCAGUAAUUCCAGGUGAAGAGAUAGGCACUGACACUUCCCUGUCUGGGGACCUGAAAAAAGACUGCAAGAUACGAGAAUGAUGUGUUCUUGCCUUUUCUUUUUGUUAACACUUAUAGAUUCAGUGCUGAAAGGAAUUGAAAGGAACGAAAAUGAGUAAAACUAUACUGCUUCCAACUGCUAAGUAAAAGAGCCAAAUGAAAGCCACUAAAACAAUAUACUGUAGUGUUGUUUAUUUUUGUUUGUUUGUUUUUUAUGA